rnacentral:rRNA from 1 species
CAGGCUGCUUUGAGUUGGGGCAACUAUGGAGCAAAACAAAACCUCCACGAACUAGGACUUACCCUCCAUUACAGACCCACAAGCCAAAAAUAACUAACAUUUGACCCAGUAAUACUGACCAUCGAACCAAGUUACCCCGGGGAUAACAGCGCUAUCCCCUCCAAGAGUCCACAUCACCGAGGGGGUUUACGACCUCGAUGUUGGAUCAGGGCCCCCAGGCGGUGCAGCCGCUGCCAAAGGUUCGUUUGUUCAACGACUAACGCCCUACGUGAUCUGAGUUCAGACCG